AAAAGCCAAAAUAUUAAGUAUAUAUGCUUAACUUUAAAUACCGACUACUGAUAUACAAUAUGCAUAAUAAUCAUGUUAUUUAUAUAUAUAAUUCCAACUUAAAAGUGUUCAUAGGUUCCCUAUAGCUUAUAUUUAAUGUUGCAAUUUAGCAGAAAAUUGUUGGCAGCUGUCAAACCAAUCAGCAUCACAUCUGCCAAUCUUUUGUACACCUCUGUCCACUUAAUCUAACAAAUGAAAGUUGGUCAUAACAUUAGAAACAACUGAUAUGAGGAACUAUCUAUAAACCUAUAAAAAAGAUGUGAGUAUUUUGGUUCAUAUGGACAAUGGACCGCUUUCUUUUUGUGCAGGUUUCAAUAUCAUUGUAUUUUAUCGUUUACUUCUUUUCAGCAACAAAAUAUAUUUUAUUAUAUUUAGUACCUAAUCAUACUUGCUAAAUGACCCGCAUUCUGCGGGUCACACCCGCAAAAUGAACCUAUCACCCGCGACGAUCUUAUGACCCGCGCGGGUCAUACGUAUCUCCCGCAUUCCGUAAAUAUGACCCGCAAUCACCCGCAUCCGCGUCUUUUAUUAGGAUCUCUGUACUUCCGGAAAUGUUCUGUUCGUGUCUCUCGGAAGUUUAGGUUUCAGUUGUAGGUAAAGUCUGUAUACUAAGUGAUUUGUUUUCACAAUGGCGUCCCUGUUUCGGAACCAGCCUGGCAAAUUCAAAAGUGAGUAAUGCUGACUCUGAGAGAACAUUUUCCAUGUUGAAGAACAUCCAGACAGAAGGGAGAUCUGAAUUAGGAAAUGAUACCAUAUGUGCUUUGUUAUGUGCAAAACUAAAUCAACAUGGUUCAUGCUUUCAGUAUGCACCUAGGAAAAGAAAAACAUGUAUAUUGAUUAAGAAUAUGUAAUAAAACAAUGAAGGUGUGA